rnacentral:rRNA from 1 species
AGUGAACGCUGGCGGUAGGCCUAACACAUGCAAGUCGAACGGCCGCACCGUAAGAGCUUGCUCUUACGGGUGGCGAGUGGCGGACGGGUGCGGCAUACAUCGGAUUCUACUUUUUCGUGGGGGCUAACGUCGGAAAACUUACGCUAAUACCGCACACGACGUACGGGUGAAAGCAGGGGAUCUUCGGACUUUGCGCGAUUGAAUCAGCUGAUGUCGGAUACGCUCGGUGGCGGGGUAGAGGCCCACCAAGGCUACGAUCCGUAGCUGGUCUGAGAGGAUGAUCAGCCACACUGGAACUGAGACACGGUACAGACUCCUACAGGGAGAAGCAGUGGGGAAUAUUGGACGAUGGGCGCGAGCCUGAUCCAGCCAUACCGCGUGGAGGAAGAUGGCCUUCGGGUUGUAAAGCGCUUUUGUUGGGAAAGAAGAACAGCAGGUUAAUACCCCACUGUUCUGACGGUACCCAAAGAAUAAGCACCGGCUAACUUCGUG